rnacentral:rRNA from 1 species
GACGAACGCUGGCGGCGUGCUUAACACAUGCGAGUCGAACGGAAAGGCCCUGCUUUUGUGCGGUGCUCGAGUGGCGAACGGGUGAGUAACACGUGAGUAACCUGCCCUUGACUUUGGGAUAACUUCAGGAAACUGGGGCUAAUACCGGAUAGGAGCUCCUGCUGCAUGGUGGGGGUGGGAAAGUUUCGGCGGUUGGGGAUGGACUCGCGGCUUAUCAGCUUGUUGGUGGGGUAGUGGAUUACCAAGGCUUUGAGGGGUAGCCGGCCUGAGAGGGUGACCGGCCCCAUUGGGCUUGAGAUACGGCACAGACUCGUACGGGAGGCAGCGGUGGGGAAUAUUGUACAAUGGGCGGAAGCCUGAUGCAGCAACGCCGCGUGCGGGAUGACGGCCUUCGGGUUGUAAACCGCUUUCGCCUGUGACGAAGCGUGAGUGACGGUAAUGGGUAAAGAAGCACCGGCUAACUACGUG